CGUCUAUAUACGUAUAGCAUAUCAAUAAGCGGAGGAAAAGAAACUAACAAGGAUUCCCUUAGUAACGGCGAGUGAAGCGGGAAGAGCUCAAAUUUGAAAUCUUCAAGGGUUUCCCUUGACGAAUUGUAGUUUAAAGAAGUGUUUUCUGUUAGAGAGGUGGUAAAAGUUCUUUGGAAUAGGACAUCAUAGGAGGGUGAGAAUCCCGUAUUUGAUCACUUUCUACUAGCUGUUGUGAUACACUUUCAACGAGUCGGAUUGUUUGGGAAUGCAGUCCAAAAUGGGUGGUAAAUUUCAUCUAAAGCUAAAUAUUGGCGAGAGACCGAUAGCGAACAAGUACCGUGAGGGAAAGAUGAAAGGAACUUUGAAAAGAGAGUUAAACAGUACGUGAAAUUGUCAAAAGGGAAGCGUUUGACACCAGUGUUGUUUUUCCGAAAAUCAAUUAUGAAUGGUUUGAUUUUAGGAGUUCAUGACCUUCAUACGCUUGCUCCUUUCUUUAUGUACUUUCGUAAUGCACUUUUCGGUUAACAAGUCAACAUCAAUUUCUUUUGUUGUAAAAGGGUAAGAGGAAGGUGGCUUGCAGCUUCGGCUCGAAGUGUUUAUAGCCUUUUAUCCUCUGCAGUCGGAGAGAUUGAGGUCUGCAGCGUAGAUCCUUCGGGGUUAGAUACAUUUGUGCUAAGCUAUAGCCUUGUAUAGACAACUUGUUGACUAUGCUCAGUCAUGUAGCUUACUCGCUUAUGCUAUUUACCUACGCUUAGGAUGUUGACACACGCGCGUGCUCG
rnacentral:rRNA from 1 species